rnacentral:misc_RNA from 1 species
GAAAUGCGAUAAGUAAUGUGAAUUGCAGAAUUCAGUGAAUCAUCGAAUCUUUGAACGCACAUUGCGCCCGCCAGUAUUUUGGCGGGCAUGCCUGUUCGAGCGUCAUUUCAACCAUCAAGCCCCCGGCUUGUGUUGGGGACCUGCGGCUGCCCGCAGGCCCUGAAAAACAGUGGCGGGCUCGCUGUCACACCGAGCGUAGUAGCAUACAUUCUCGCUCAGGGCGUGCUGCGGGUUCCGGCCGUUAAACGACCUUCAUAACCCAAGGUUGACCUCGGAUCAGGUAGGAAGACCCGCUGAACUUAAGC